CCUACGGGUGGCAGCAGUGAGGAAUAUUGGUCAAUGGACGCAAGCCUGACCCAGCAAAGCCGCGUGAAGGAAGAAGGCUCUCGGGUUGUAAACUUCUUUUCUCAGGGACGAAGCAAGUGACGGUACCUGAGGAAUAAGCCACGGCUAACUACGUGCCAGCAGCCGCGGUAAUACGUAGGUGGCAAGCGUUAUCCGGAUUUACUGGGUGUAAAGGGCGUGUAGGCGGGACUGCAAGUCAGAUGUGAAAAGCACGGGCUCAACCUGUGGCCUGCAUUUGAAACUGUAGGUCUUGAGUACUGGAGAGGCAGGCGGAAGUCCUGGUGUAGCGGUGAAAUGCGUAGAUAUUAGGAGGAACACCAGUGGCGAAGGCGGUCGUCUGGACAGCAACUGACGCUGAGGCGCGAAAGCGUGGGGAGCAAACAGGAUUAGAUACCCUUGUAGUC
rnacentral:rRNA from 1 species